AUUGAACGCUGGCGGCAUGCCUUACACAUGCAAGUCGAACGGCAGCGGGUACUUCGGUCCGCCGGCGAGUGGCGAACGGGUGAGUAAUGUAUCGGAACGUACCUUUCAGUGGGGGAUAACGUAGCGAAAGUUACGCUAAUACCGCAUAUUCUCUGAGAAGGAAAGCAGGGGACGUUCGGGCCUUGCGCUGAUGGAGCGGCCGAUAGCAGAUUAGCUAGUUGGUGGGGUAAAGGCUCACCAAGGCUACGAUCUGUAGCGGGUCUGAGAGGAUGAUCCGCCACACUGGGACUGAGACACGGCCCAGACUCCUACGGGAGGCAGCAGUGGGGAAUUUUGGACAAUGGGCGAAAGCCUGAUCCAGCCAUGCCGCGUGAGUGAAGAAGGCCUUCGGGUUGUAAAGCUCUUUCGGACGGGAAGAAAUCAUGAGGGCUAAUAUCCCUUGUGGAUGACGGUACCGUAAUAAGAAGCACCGGCUAACUACGUGCCAGCCGCCGCCGUAA
rnacentral:rRNA from 1 species